rnacentral:rRNA from 1 species
UACGUAGGGUGCAAGCGUUGUCCGGAAUUAUUGGGCGUAAAGAGCUCGUAGGCGGUUUGUCGCGUCUGCUGUGAAAACUCGGGGCUUAACUCCGGGCCUGCAGUGGGUACGGGCAGACUAGAGUGCGGUAGGGGAGACUGGAAUUCCUGGUGUAGCGGUGAAAUGCGCAGAUAUCAGGAGGAACACCGGUGGCGAAGGCGGGUCUCUGGGCCGUAACUGACGCUGAGGAGCGAAAGCGUGGUGAGCGAACAGG